rnacentral:rRNA from 1 species
AUGAACGCUAGCUACAGGCUUAACACAUGCAAGUCGAGGGGCAGCAUUUUAGUUUGCUUGCAAACUGAAGAUGGCGACCGGCGCACGGGUGAGUAACACGUAUCCAACCUGCCGAUAACUCCGGAAUAGCCUUUCGAAAGAAAGAUUAAUACCGGAUAGCAUACGAAUAUCGCAUGAUAUUUUUAUUAAAGAAUUUCGGUUAUCGAUGGGGAUGCGUUCCAUUAGUUUGUUGGCGGGGUAACGGCCCACCAAGACUACGAUGGAUAGGGGUUCUGAGAGGAAGGUCCCCCACAUUGGAACUGAGACACGGUCCAAACUCCUACGGGAGGCAGCAGUGAGGAAUAUUGGUCAAUGGGCGAGAGCCUGAACCAGCCAAGUAGCGUGAAGGAUGAAGGCUCUAUGGGUCGUAAACUUCUUUUAUAUGGGAAUAAAGUUUUCCACGUGUGGAAUUUUGUAUGUACCAUAUGAAUAAGGAUCGGCUAACUCCGUGCCAGCAGCCGCGGUAAUACGGAGGAUCCGAGCGUUAUCCGGAUUUAUUGGGUUUAAAGGGAGCGUAGGUGGAUUGUUAAGUCAGUUGUGAAAGUUUGCGGCUCAACCGUAAAAUUGCAGUUGAAACUGGCAGUCUUGAGUACAGUAGAGGUGGGCGGAAUUCGUGGUGUAGCGGUGAAAUGCUUAGAUAUCACGAAGAACUCCGAUUGCGAAGACAGCUCACUAGACUGUUACUGACACUGAUGCUCGAAAGUGUGGGUAUCAAACAGGAUUAGAUACCCUGGUAGUCCACACAGUAAACGAUGAAUACUCGCUGUUUGCGAUAUACAGUAAGCGGCCAAGCGAAAGCAUUAAGUAUUCCACCUGGGGAGUACGCCGGCAACGGUGAAACUCAAAGGAAUUGACGGGGGCCCGCACAAGCGGAGGAACAUGUGGUUUAAUUCGAUGAUACGCGAGGAACCUUACCCGGGCUCAAACGCACGACGGCGGCACGUGAAAGCGUGCUUACCUACGGGACGUUGUGCGAGGUGCUGCAUGGUUGUCGUCAGCUCGUGCCGUGAGGUGUCGGCUUAAGUGCCAUAACGAGCGCAACCCUUAUCUUUAGUUACUAACAGGUGAUGCUGAGGACUCUAGAGAGACUGCCGUCGUAAGAUGUGAGGAAGGUGGGGAUGACGUCAAAUCAGCACGGCCCUUACGUCCGGGGCUACACACGUGUUACAAUGGGGGGUACAGAAGGCGGCUACCUGGUGACAGGAUGCUAAUCCCAAAAACCUCUCUCAGUUCGGAUCGAAGUCUGCAACCCGACUUCGUGAAGCUGGAUUCGCUAGUAAUCGCGCAUCAGCCAUGGCGCGGUGAAUACGUUCCCGGGCCUUGUACACACCGCCCGUCAAGCCAUGAAAGCCGGGGGUACCUGAAGUACGUAACCGCAAGGAGCGUCCUAGGGUAAAACUGGUAAUUGGGGCU